AGAAACACCAAUCAGCACAUCUUCCCUGCCCUGUGUGUUUGUUGCAAAGGAUCCAUACUGUAAAUAUGAUUUUUGUUUGAAAAUAAGAGAGCAACAUUUACAUUUUCAGCGGUCCAACACAUGCUUUAUUUUGCACUGUAAACUAACCUUUUUAUUGCGACAGGUUCCUUUUAAAUGAUCCAGUGUAAUAACUACUGCUUGUGUCUUCUAUGUCUCACAUUAUGUGUUCUUUUAAAUUGUGGUAUAUAGCCUGAAUCAGACAUCAUGGACAAAAGGUUUUUACCUGUGUUACUAAGGGCUCUUGGAGACUGACCGGUCUAAAGGUUUGCCAUGCCUUUAAAACAUGGUAUAGUAUAAAUUUUUUAAGUCUCUGAGAGUUCUGAAAGAUUCAGGUGAAACCAUGUCUGUUUAAUCUGGU